GCUCACGAGUCGCAGCCUUCGGUACCUGGCCGGCUGCGCGGCAACCCUCCUCGCCGAGCGGGGUGCCCCAGGGGAAGAGCCGGUCGCGUGCAUCCCGCGUGCGGCAAGUCGGCGGC
rnacentral:ncRNA from 1 species